UGUAACAUACAGGCCUAAAGCAGAGAUUCAUAGGCUACUAUCUACUUAGUUCAUCCAUGUGUAACCUUAUCUGAUCCACUGGGAUGAGUGGACUUGGCUCAGGGAAUAGGCCAAAUUCAGGAAGAAACAAUGCCAAAAAAUGGCUCCUGGGGUUUAUGUUACUGGCCAAAAUCUAAACUACGCUGAAUGAAGUCUGAGUCAGCCCUGAAAUGGAAACUAGGAAGCGGCAACAUGGUCCCAAACCUGCUUUUUAAUCAGCUGGUAAAGAGGAAAAGAGACUACUCUUCAAGAUACUGCAGAUGCAAAGUAGAAAGAUCUCUUGACAACCCCGAUGUGAAGAAAUACCACAGGAGGCACCCUGCUGCUGUCGUCAGGAAGUCUUCACAUGCACCGUGACUCAAAGCUGGCUUUGCGGUUUCUGAUCCAUUGUGAUCACUCUUUUGUUCUUGAA